CAAAUUUCAUAGAUGUCAAUUUCAAUACUGUUUCCUGACAAAAUUGGUCUUACCUCGUAAGACACUCGGUGUGAAAUGGAAAGCGUCGAUAUUGAUAGAAUCCUUGAAGGUUGCAUAAUCGAAAUUCAGAGUAUAAGUAAGAAAAGCUACGGGAAAAGUAAGCGAUAAUAUUCUACAUCUGAGGGGCAUAUCUCGAACCAAAUUUCCAUAAUAUUAAAUUGUGUUUCAGGUUAGCUUUGAUAUUAUUAUUUAAAUAAAACACGAUUAGUUUGAGAA